rnacentral:misc_RNA from 1 species
AACGCACAUUGCGCCCCUUGGUAUUCCGAGGGGCAUGCCUAUUCGAGCGUCAUUAUCACCCCUCAAGCCUAGCUUGGUGUUGAGGCCUGCCGUCAAGGCAGCCUCUAAAAUCAGUGGCAGUGCUGUCAGGCUCUAAGCGUAGUAAAUCUCUCGCUAUAGGGACUUGGUGGACACUUGCCAGAACCCCCCAUUUUUUAAUGAUUGACCUCGGAUUAGGUAGGGAUACCCGCUGAACUUAA